rnacentral:tRNA from 1 species
GCGGGAAUAGCUCAGUGGUAGAGCACAACCUUGCCAAGGUUGGGGUCGAGGGUUCGAAUCCCUUUUCCCGCUCCA